rnacentral:lncRNA from 1 species
UUCUGAAAUUAAAUACGCCCCUUAAUUCUGUGUGAGGUCAAACUUUCCCUCACAGACUUCAUCUGCUUAACGCGAGCGGCUGCACGCGGUGAUGCUGAGGAGACCUGAUCCCCUUUUCUCGGCCCUGUUUUAAGAACAUCACGGAACCUCCUCAUUUUGUGGAGGGGGGGGGAAGAAAAAAAUAGAAUAAAAAAUAAAAGGGGGUUAAAAAAUGAGCAAACGGAGGAUGUUUUCCUCACAGAAAGGGGAGGGGGAGGCAGGCGGCCGCGCGGCACAGCGCCGCCCGCGGUACUGCAGGGCCCCGCCCGCUGCUGCUUCACAAAAUGGCGCCCGGCGGGGCCGCGCCGAGCGGUGCUGAGGCGACAAAAUGGGGGCGGGCGGGCAGCGAGGGAAGGGCCUCAGGGCCCCUCGUUCCUCUCCCGUCUCGUUUUGAGGUGUUUUUCCCCUCGCAGCGUGAAGAUUUUGGGGGGUUGCAGUCUUUGCUGUCCUCACCGCGUGGAAAAUGCCCAAAAAAACAAAACAAAACAACACCCAAAAAGCCCCGAACAGCCGGGGGGACUGAAGGAAGGAACUGCCUCCUCACAGCCACCAUUCUGGGAAAUGCAGGAUUGUUUGUGUAACUCCCACUCUGCAGCAGAUAGCUUCUCUGUCACCAUGACUUCAAAAUGCACAGUCCAAGCAGUGAGCAAGGAGAGCAGGCCACGAUACCCUGAUACCCCGUAG